UACGUAGGUGGCAAGCGUUGUCCGGAUUUAUUGGGUUUAAAGGGUGCGUAGGCGGCCUUUUAAGUCAGUGGUGAAAUACUUCAGCUUAACUGGAGAGGUGCCAUUGAUACUGGGAUGCUUGAGUACUGAUGAGGUAGGCGGAAUGGACGGUGUAGCGGUGAAAUGCUUAGAUAUCGUCCAGAACACCGAUAGCGAAGGCAGCUUACUAAGGAGUAACUGACGCUGAGGCACGAAAGUGUGGGGAUCAAACAGG
rnacentral:rRNA from 1 species